AUCAAUCGUGACAUUUCAAACAUGUACCCGUGUAAUUGCUGUAUUGACUUCGCCCUAAUAAUGCCCGUUUGUUACAACACAACAAAUAUAAAUGGCAGGUUUGUUUUCCCAUUUCUUCUUUUAUUAUAAUUGUUCACACAGCAGUGAUAAUUUUGUGUUAACUGCAGAGAAUGAUGCAAUUUUAUCGCUUUUAAUAAUAAAGGCCUUCAGGUCAAUCACGAAUAUCGCAUCACAUUAGUACAUUUUGCAAAGAAUUCAUUAUUAGUAUGUGUAUAGACACCCAGAUGGUGCGUUAUUGAAAGUGUCGGUUAUUUCCCAAAUAAAAUUUUCAUCCGUGAUAUAGGUAAACACGAUAAGUGGAUAUUCUGCCUAAAUAAAACCACAUCGAUCAUAAAACAACAGUUUCAAGAUCAAGGUUGUUGGUGACUUCGUAUUCAAAAUCAGUCUUGGUUACCUUGAGCUCUGGACGUUGUCAGUGCAAACAUCGUUGCUACAAAAGAUAAAAAGACGAUUGGGCUUCUAUUUUUGGUGACCCCACAAUGUUCGGCCUUGGUCUGUUUUCGGUCCUCUUCGAUAUCCUGUUUAUCCUCCAAUCGCACUAAUUAUGAAGAAAAGAGUUAGUAAAAUGGAGAUCUUACCUGUCAGUUUUUCAUAUUGUUUAUAGGCAAUUACUUAAUUGAAAUUAUUCUUAGAACAUUUUCCCAUAAACUGAUACCACAAACUGUUUAUUUCCUUUGUAACUAUUGUAAAAAGAU